AUUGAACGCUGGCGGCAUGCCUUACACAUGCAAGUCGAACGGUAACAGGUCUUCGGAUGCUGACGAGUGGCGCACGGGUGAGUAAUACAUCGGAACGUGCCCGAUCGUGGGGGAUAACGAGGCGAAAGCUUUGCUAAUACCGCAUACGAUCUACGGAUGAAAGCGGGGGAUCUUCGGACCUCGCGCGGACGGAGCGGCCGAUGGCAGAUUAGGUAGUUGGUGGGAUAAAAGCUUACCAAGCCGACGAUCUGUAGCUGGUCUGAGAGGAUGAUCAGCCACACUGGGACUGAGACACGGCCCAGACUCCUACGGGAGGCAGCAGUGGGGAAUUUUGGACAAUGGGCGAAAGCCUGAUCCAGCCAUGCCGCGUGCAGGAUGAAGGCCUUUGGGUUGUAAACUGCUUUUGUACGGAACGAAAAGCCUCUUCCUAAUAAAGAGGGGUCAUGACGGUACCGUAAGAAUAAGCACCGGCUAACUACGUG
rnacentral:rRNA from 1 species